rnacentral:rRNA from 1 species
AUGUCUCUCAUCAUCCAGUGUCCCAGCCCACAGAUUAUUUGCAUGUGCAUCUCCGUACGAGUAACAAAUCCAGGGUUCCGUUCGACCAAGCCACAACAGCUCGACUCGGUUUGUUUUCUUUCCAUAUAUGUUAUGAUCAACUCCUAUGGUGCAGUAACUAUGGAGUGGUUGGAAGCCCUGUCUAUUCAAUUCCAGUGUUAUAUGCCUAAAUCCCAAAGAAGUGUCAUUCGGAGACCAGAGAUCGAAAGCAGGACUACAUCACAUCCGCAACAAGUCAGCGGCACCCCCACAAAAAAUUAUCAGCAACACACACGGCGGGUUGAAGGCUCCGCACAACCUGUAGGCGCAUACGACGCCUUGGUACCGAACAAAUCAAUCAAAGCCAUAAACAAAUAUCUACUUUUUGAGCUGAGCACGAGAACAAUGGGACAUCCAAGAAGAGGCAACCAAGCAAUUGCGUCCAUCUACAUAAACAAAAUAAUCUGCACGGCUAUAUAUAUGACAGAGUGCCAAAUAAGGUUUUGA